UAAUGGAAGAUUUAUGGUCCAUUGUUGAGUUUGAAGAUGGUAUGGAAAUGAUUCCCACCUCCUGGAUAAUGGAAGAUAAAAGUACUGCUUAUUGACCAAAGUUUAGUUCACAUAAAUUUAUGAAAGCUGUAAAAAAUCGCAUACCAUAUGAAAAUGAAUGGUCGUUGUUCAAAAUAAAGAAAAUUUUAGCCAGUUCAAAUUCAUAUGACAAUGGAUUAUUAAAAUUGAAAAAAGCUGAAAUUUUGUCAGACAUUAAUUCAGAAAAUGACGAUCUAGAAGCUUUUAAGAAAUCCCGAAAAGAGAGAGCAAAAAUAAUAAUCUCAAGCAGUGAAGAUAAUAAUAGUGAUCAAGAAAAUAUAUAGUUACCUGAUUAUCCUAAAGUUCCACAAAUAAAAAGCAACAGCUUUAACACCAAAUCAAAGAAUAAAUGUGACGACAAAUCCAAAAAACAGUUAAUAAAUACGUGUAAUGAAGAUAAAUCUGAGCCUUGCGCUAUUGCAAAUAAUAUUAGUUUAAGUAAGUA